rnacentral:sRNA from 1 species
GCUGGAUGUGAUAGCACACACCUGUAAUUCCAAUAACUUGGGAGGCUGAGGCAGGAAGAUUGCAAGAUUGAGGCCAGCCUCAGCAACUUAGUGAGACCCUGUCUCAA